CACAGACGUAUCAUAUGUUUAGACGAACUCAAGCAAAUUUCUCCGGAGUGGUUGAAUAUCGCGAAUUGUUAAGUGCAUGAGUCGCAGAAUUCGCCGUUAAUGUCCGAUACUAUAAAAGCCUAGUUUACACUAUCAAAGUUUCUGUGAUCACAGUAGCAAUUUUGCGUUGGGAAAUUCUAAGUUUUCAAGGUUUUGAAGGAACCGAACUCGGUGUUUAACACUUCGUACAAUCCUUCAAAACAUUCGUACAAAUCCUUCAAAAUGCAAAAUUUUUACAUCACGAAUUUUAGUCCGCACAAGCUGCGCAAAAGUGGCGUCUGUUAACGGUGUAAGCUAUACAAGUUCUCAAUAGAUACAUUUGUGCCUGUUUUCGGCUUUCUUUUAAAGUCAUGUAACAGGGCGCUUAUAUAUGUAAGGGCCCUGGAUGUAUUUUUAAAAUAUCCAUUCAAAACAAUUGCCAAAACACAUAUUAUAUUGCACGUAAGGCGUACACGUCUAGCCGUAUUCUUUUGUAAGUCUCGAUGAAUAAUUGAUAAGUUUGGAAGUAGUCGUAAGCGAUUUUUAACCAAAAACAGUAUAUUAGCUCGAUUAUAAGCCUUGUUUUAAUUCCAACACUGUAUCAAAUGAUUAAACCUCAUCCAUUUUGUCUCAGGAAAACGAUAGAACAUUAUAUUAUCGAUAUUAUAGUAUAUUCAUUGCAACGGUUCGUCAAAAGUUUUGCGAGACAUACUGGCGUCUCCGAAGUGGCGGCGUCGACUUAUACUGCCUGACUUCCCCUCAAACGCCUUUGUCUUGGCCAAUGGAUUGAUGGCGUACGUCUGCAUCGCACGACUCACGUCAAUAUUUGAUUUCGGUUCCUUCUCAUCAGGACGUUUAUUUGCCUAGUAUCGCAUGUGCCGUUUGCCGUCUAUAUGACAGUCUGUGCCUUAAGUACAGUGAUACCGCGUCAUGCGGUUUUAAAAGCACAAACACCGGCUUGGUAAAAGGAUCGGGCCUACUGGUAUAGCUGUUUGGAUUAUAUCUCGUUCAAUUCUGAAACCUAUCUCGUUGGGGGUUUUUUUAAGGUAAUGUGAGGUUAUGAUAUCUUAUAUAUAUAAUAAAGAUAUGACAGUUGUGGAAUAUUGCAUUCACCCGUUCCUGGGUUUAAAUAUGACCCUUGUUUUGGCGAGAAUUUACAUGUCAAUGGGAGAGUCGCUGUGAAAAGGUCAUGAGGGAGGGUCCUAUGUUUCCCAUCACUGCUUCAGCUUCUAUCUUCCAGCUCAUAGAUGCAAAUAUAGUGUUAACCGAACUAAAUUCCUCUUGGUGUUGUGCUCCCUAUACUUAUUUUAGCAUGUGCAAACUAACUUUAUUUCUACUGGAUGGCUAUUAGUUCUAAACUGUUCUUCUUAGAGGUCCAGUGAGGAUCAUCUCUUAUUGAUCCAGUGUUACUACAGGAGGAAACCUAAACUAAACUAACUUUAUUUAUACUGGAUAGCUCUAUCAGUUCUAAACUGUUCUUCC
rnacentral:lncRNA from 1 species